UUCAUGGUUUCAGUGUUUCUCAGUUGGUGCUGGAGGUUCUCAGCUGCGCUGGAUGAUUGCAUGGAAGAGUACUUAAGCGGUAGGCUGCCAGCACUUCAACACCAGAGGGUUUGCCUUAGUGGUUUUUACCUGAGGCUUUGUUUACCUUGCUGAGACCCGACUUCGUUCCAGAGAUUCUCUGAGCAAUCUGGAUAAUCAUCUACUGAGUAUUGGAUCUACCUUCUUGUGGAUUUCUCUCCCAACCAUUUAUACUUUACGGACACGGACCAAGCUGUCGGCUUCCCACUCCCUUCAACUCCAGGACCAAGGCAUAAGCAUACCCUGUUCCACCCUCCAUCGCAAGCAUCAGCACCUGUGCUUCAUCUGGUUUGCACCAAACCAGCAGCUGAGAAGACAACUGAGCAACCUCACUUCGCAAGCUAAGACUCUGAAUCUCUCUACCCCUGGUGGUUCAAGCAACAGCAAUUUAUUGGUGUUUCCAGUUCUCGUCCCUGAUUACUUUGCUGACAAUAAAGACACAUUAAACUUUACUUCAGAGUGUUUUCUGUAUGUGGAUCAGCUCUAUUUCGAGAAAAAUGACAGCUACCAACUGCCCCAACCGGGCAGCCACUGUAUUUACCAUAAAAUAUAUUUUAUUUCACAACUUUUAGCAUAAUAACAGAGUUGUAUGAUUUUUGUUUUAAUAAUGGAUACUGUGUUUUCUAAAAUGUUGUCCUUAGAAAUGAUCAAAUAUGUGCCAUAACUGUA